GCCUUCCAGAGUGUGGUGCUGCCGGCCUUUGAGAAGAGCUGCCAGGCCAUGUUCCAGCAAAUCAAUGAUAGCUUCCGGCUGGGGACACAGGAAUACUUGCAGCAGCUAGAAAGCCACAUGAAGAGCCGGAAGGCACGGGAACAGGAGGCCAGGGAGCCUGUGCUAGCCCAGCUGCGGGGCCUGGUCAGCACACUGCAGAGUGCCACUGAGCAGAUGGCAGCCACCGUGGCCGGCAGUGUUCGUGCUGAGGUGCAGCACCAGCUGCAUGUGGCUGUGGGCAGCCUGCAGGAGUCCAUUUUAGCACAGGUACAGCGCAUCGUUAAGGGUGAGGUGAGUGUGGCGCUCAAGGAGCAGCAGGCCGCCGUCACCUCCAGCAUCAUGCAGGCCAUGCGCUCAGCUGCUGGCACACCUGUCCCCUCUGCCCACCUUGACUGCCAGGCCCAGCAAGCCCAUAUCCUGCAGCUGCUGCAGCAGGGCCACCUCAAUCAGGCCUUCCAGCAGGCGCUGACAGCUGCUGACCUGAACCUGGUGCUGUAUGUGUGUGAAACUGUGGACCCAGCCCAGGUUUUUGGGCAGCCACCCUGCCCGCUCUCCCAGCCUGUGCUCCUUUCCCUCAUCCAGCAGCUGGCAUCUGACCUUGGCACUCGAACUGACCUCAAGCUCAGCUACCUGGAAGAGGCCGUGAUGCACCUGGACCACAGUGACCCCAUCACUCGGGACCACAUGGGCUCCGUUAUGGCCCAGGUGCGCCAAAAGCUUUUUCAGUUCCUGCAGGCUGAGCCACACAACUCACUUGGCAAAGCAGCUCGGCGUCUCAGCCUCAUGCUGCAUGGCCUCGUGACCCCCAGCCUCCCUUAGCUGCUAAGCCUGCCUUGCCCAGGGGUGGGAUGGCACUGAAGGCCAGCAGACAGGCCUAGGCUGGGGCAGGGUCACGGCUGGCCUUUACCUGCUCAGGCCCCCAUCUCUGGGGUGUUUGGGGGUCAGGGAGCAGGGAGCACUGGCCGUGGUCUACAGCGUGUGGUAGUCAGAAGGUUUAGCUGGGCCCAGGGCAGGUAUUGCGCCUGCUUGGGUUCUGCCAUGCCUGGAGCAUGACCCUGAGAUCGUGACACCACUUGAGUGGAAUUUUCCAUGUUCCUUUUUACCUCUAAUUUGGAUCUUUUUGUUUUUGAAAAACAUUGAGAAAUUCAAUUAAAUGCUUUUGGAAU
rnacentral:lncRNA from 1 species